CCUACGGGAGGCAGCAGUAGGGAAUCUUCCACAAUGGGCGAAAGCCUGAUGGAGCAACGCCGCGUGGGUGAAGAAGGUCUUCGGAUCGUAAAACCCUGUUGUUAGAGAAGAAAGUGCGUGAGAGUAACUGUUCACGUGUCGACGGUAUCUAACCAGAAAGCAACGGCUAACUACGUGCCAGCAGCCGCGGUAAUACGUAGGUGGCAAGCGUUAUCCGGAUUUAUUGGGCGUAAAGGGAACGCAGGCGGUCUUUUAAGUCUGAUGUGAAAGCCUUCGGCUUAACCGGAGUAGUGCAUUGGAAACUGGGAGACUUGAGUGCAGAAGAGGAGAGUGGAACUCCAUGUGUAGCGGUGAAAUGCGUAGAUAUAUGGAAGAACACCAGUGGCGAAAGCGGCUCUCUGGUCUGUAACUGACGCUGAGGUUCGAAAGCGUGGGUAGCAAACAGGAUUAGAUACCCUUGUAGUC
rnacentral:rRNA from 1 species